ensembl:lncRNA
AAAGGACUUCCUGAAAUCCCUUCCAAUUUGAAUUAUUCUUUGAUCCUGUACCACACUGCUGGAAGACCAGAAUAAGGCCUGAAUAACUUGGAAUGUAUUUGAAAUUUCAGGUUUCCCAUGCCAGUAUGAAUUCUUCCCAGAGCAUAAGAGACCUGGAUUUAGGUAGGACUCAUUGGAGAGCUUUACUGCAGUAUUUUUAAGACUUUGAAGAGCAAUUGAGGAAAGGUGAGUAGCUGGAACUGGGAAGAUAUUUCAGCUAAUAUUUCUCUUGAAUUACCCUCAAUAUUUCUCUUUAUGCUGGAUAUAAGCAUUUCUGUA